rnacentral:lncRNA from 1 species
CCUGAAUGGAGCUGCCUGGUGACAGGAGCAGGAAGGUUUCUGGGCCAGAGGAUUGUCUGAACAUUGGUGUAGGAGGAAGAGCUACAGGAGAACAGAGCCCUGUUCAGGACCUUCAGUCAAAAAAUAGGAAAAGAAAAAGUGACAGUACUGACAGGAGACAUUUUGGAUGCCCAGUGCCUGAGGAAAGCCUGCCAGAGAAUUUCUGCUGUCAUUCACACUGCUGUUGUCAUUGAUAUCUCAGGUGUCCUGCCCAGACAGACCAUCCUAGAUGUUGAUCUGAAAGGCACACCAUACCCAUACAGCAAAAAGAUGUGUGAGAAGGCAGUGCUGACAGCCAAUGGGAGCAUUUUGAAAACUGGUGGCACAUUGCAUACUUGUGCCUUAAGACUCCCUUUCAUCUAUAGGGAAGAAUGCCAAAGUCCUUCAACCACUCUAAUAAUAAUAAUU